GACGAACGCUGGCGGCGUGCUUAACACAUGCAAGUCGAACGGAAAGGCCCUGCUUUUGUGGGGUGCUCGAGUGGCGAACGGGUGAGUAACACGUGAGUAACCUGCCCUUGACUUUGGGAUAACUUCAGGAAACUGGGGCUAAUACCGGAUAGGAGCUCCUGCUGCAUGGUGGGGGUUGGAAAGUUUCGGCGGUUGGGGAUGGACUCGCGGCUUAUCAGCUUGUUGGUGGGGUAGUGGCUUACCAAGGCUUUGACGGGUAGCCGGCCUGAGAGGGUGACCGGCCACAUUGGGACUGAGAUACGGCCCAGACUCCUUCGGGAGGCAGCAGUGGGGAAUAUUGCACAAUGGGCGGAAGCCUGAUGCAGCAACGCCGCGUGCGGGAUGACGGCCUUCGGGUUGUAAACCGCUUUCGCCUGUGACGAAGAGUGAGUGACGGUAAUGGGUAAAGAAGCACCGGCUAACUACGUG
rnacentral:rRNA from 1 species